rnacentral:rRNA from 1 species
CCUACGGGGGGCAGCAGUGGGGGAUAUUGCACAAUGGGGGAAACCCUGAUGCAGCGACGCCGCGUGUGGGAAGACGGUCCUCUGGAUUGUAAACCACUGUCGCCAGGGACGAAGAUGACGGUACUUGGGGAGGAAGCUCCGGCUAACUCGGUGCCAGCAGCCGCGGUAAUACGUAGGGAGCGAGCGUUGUCCGGAUUUAUUGGGUGUAAAGGGAGCGUAGGCGGGACUGAAAGUAGGGGGUAAAAUCUACCGGCUCAACCGGUAGCCGCACUCAAAACUGCAGUGCUUGAGUGAAGGAGAGGCAGGCGGAAUUCCUGGUGUAGCGGUGAAAUGCGUAGAUAUUAGGAGGAACACCGGUGGCGAAGGCGGCCUGCUGGGCUUUUACUGACGCUGAGGCUCGAAAGUGUGGGGAGCAAACAGGAUUAGAUACCCGAGUAGUC